GAUGAACGCUGGCGACGUGCCUAAUACAUGCAAGUCGAGCGAACAGACGAGGAGCUUGCUCCUCUGACGUUAGCGGCGGACGGGUGAGUAACACGUGGAUAACCUACCUAUAAGACUGGGAUAACUUCGGGAAACCGGAGCUAAUACCGGAUAAUAUAUUGAACCGCAUGGUUCAAUAGUGAAAGACGGUUUUGCUGUCACUUAUAGAUGGAUCCGCGCCGCAUUAGCUAGUUGGUAAGGUAACGGCUUACCAAGGCGACGAUGCGUAGCCGACCUGAGAGGAGGAGGAGGGAACAUGGAAGUGAGGCACGGUACAGACGAAUGCGGGAGGCAGCAGUGGGGUGUGGUGGACGAUGGGUGGAAGUAUGAAACAGCUAUAGAGAGUGGGUGAAGAAGGGGUUAGGGUUGUAAAGCUGUUUUGUGGGGAAAGAAAAGCAGAAGGUUAAUAACAAGCUGGUCGGAAGGUACGUAAAGAAUAAGCACCGGCGAACUUCGUG
rnacentral:rRNA from 1 species